rnacentral:lncRNA from 1 species
GGCUACAAAUGACAAGAACCGAGUCAGCAAGAGACAGCCAGGGUGCACCCCUUUCCAGCAACUAGACCAAAGCUGGUUUGAGCCAACAUGAGCCUAAUGGGUGGCACGUACGAACCCAUCACCGUCAGCUUGAGCUGCUAGCAGGCUUUCAUAAAUGGUAUUGUCAUCGCAUCUGGAGGCACUUUCCUUCCUCCAGAGAAUCCAUAAGGAGCCUAUAUAUGCAGCAACCACAAUGCCAAAACAAAUAAAAUCGUACCAGUACACCACUAACGCCAUGGCAAGGCUUCAACCAGUAUGCACUAGUCCUGAAAUCGGAAAAUUGAAAAAAUGAUCUGACUGUUUCAAAGAGAGGAACUGAAAUUGAUAUUGGUUUUGGGUAUAAUUAAACUCUAGAACAUCUGAACACAUGUUUAGAGGAGAAAUACUUUUAGGUGAUGGCUUGACAUAGGACUAUUAGUUUUGACUGUCUGGUUUAAUUAGCUUUCGAAACGUGAACGUUAAGGAAUUGUCA